GUAUCAACAGUGUUGUGUGUUCAUGAUGUUGCUAAUGACACUGAUAGUUCUAGUAAUGGUGAUGGUGGUGGUGGGUCUACUCCCUGUGUCUCUCCAUGGUGUGGGGAGAAAUGUGAACUACUGAACUGUGAUGAAACUGAUUGCAAUGGAAAUGGAGUUUGUACUAAUGGAUCUUGUAAGUGUAAAGCAGGAUGGUAUGGUAGCCUCUGUGAGAAAUGGAUGGUACAAUGAGUCAGACGGUUGUGUUUGCUACUUCUGAUCAUCAAGAAAUAAUUAUACAUUCACUCCAUGUUUUGUUUUUAGUCAUUAAUUAAUAUUUAAUAUUAUUUUUGUACGUUAAUUGCUUCUUUUCAGUGCUCGCUAUGCAGGGUGUGUUCAUUAUGAUAUUCAAACUUGACAAAAAUUAGCAAUAUAAUAUCUAAAAAUA